rnacentral:rRNA from 1 species
UACAGAGGUCCCAAGCGUUGUUCGGAUUUACUGGGCGUAAAGCGCACGUAGGCGGAUCGAUCAGUCAGGGGUGAAAUCCCAGAGCUCAACUCUGGAACUGCCUUUGAUACUGUCGAUCUGGAGUAUGGAAGAGGUGAGUGGAAUUCCGAGUGUAGAGGUGAAAUUCGUAGAUAUUCGGAGGAACACCAGUGGCGAAGGCGGCUCACUGGUCCAUUACUGACGCUGAGGUGCGAAAGCGUGGGGAGCAAACGGG